AGCGACUCUCUGGUCUGUAACUGACGCUGAGGAGCGAAAGCGUGGGGAGCGAACAGGAUUAGAUACCCUGGUAGUCCACGCCGUAAACGAUGAGUGCUAAGUGUUAGGGGGUUUCCGCCCCUUAGUGCUGCAGCUAACGCAUUAAGCACUCCGCCUGGGGAGUACGGUCGCAAGACUGAAACUCAAAGGAAUUGACGGGGGCCCGCACAAGCGGUGGAGCAUGUGGUUUAAUUCGAAGCAACGCGAAGAACUCUUACCAGGUCUUGACAUCCUCUGACAAUCCUAGAGAUAGGACGUCCCCUUCGGGGGCAGAGUGACAGGUGGUGCAUGGUUGUCGUCAGCUCGUGUCGUGAGAUGUUGGGUUAAGUCCCGCAACGAGCGCAACCCUUGAUCUUAGUUGCCAGCAUUCAGUUGGGCACUCUAAGGUGACUGCCGGUGACAAACCGGAGGAAGGUGGGGAUGACGUCAAAUCAUCAUGCCCCUUAUGACCU
rnacentral:rRNA from 1 species